rnacentral:rRNA from 1 species
GCCUUACACAUGCAAGUCGAACGGCAGCGCGGGAGCAAUCCUGGCGGCGAGUGGCGAACGGGCGAGUAAUACAUCGGAACGUGCCCAAUCGUGGGGGAUAACGUAGCGAAAGCUACGCUAAUACCGCAUAAGAUCUACGGAUGAAAGCGGGGGAUUCGCAAGAACCUCGCGCGAGUGGAGCGGCUGAUGGCAGAUUAGGUAGUUGGUGAGGUAAAGGCUCACCAAGCCUUCGAUCUGUAGCUGGUCUGAGAGGACGACCAGCCACACUGGGGCUGAGACACGGCCCAGACUCCUACGGGAGGCAGCAGUGGGGAAUUUUGGACAAUGGGCGAAAGCCUGAUCCAGCAAUGCCGCGUGCAGGAUGAAGGCCUUCGGGUUGUAAACUGCUUUUGUACGGAACGAAAAGGUCUGCCCUAAUACGGCGGGCCCAUGACGGUACCGUAAGAAUAAGCACCGGCUAACUACGUGCCAGCAGCCGCGGUAAUACGUAGGGUGCGAGCGUUAAUCGGAAUUACUGGGCGUAAAGCGUGCGCAGGCGGUUAUGUAAGACAGUUGUGAAAUCCCCGGGCUCAACCUGGGAACUGCAUCUGUGACUGCAUAGCUAGAGUACGGUAGAGGGGGAUGGAAUUCCGCGUGUAGCAGUGAAAUGCGCAGAUAUGCGGAGGAACACCGAUGGCGAAGGCAAUCCCCUGGACCUGUA